CAUACUUUCCAGUGUCGAGUUCCAUCCAGAAUGAGUCAAAAACCCUCCUAUUGCCUUAUGAUUAAGAAUGUCCUUUUGAGGGCACCAAUUCGCCAACAUGCUUCUUUCCUUAGUUUCAAUCACAAAUUCUUGAGAUCUUAUGGAAUCAUGUUUUGGGAUUAUUUGAUCAAUAAGAAGCUCAAGAGGGCCGAUUGAGUAAAUAGGAGGUAAGUGUUGCAUGGAACUUAAUGAACUUAAUACUUCUUGUUCUAAGGCAUCAAAUGUGUUUAAGAAGAUUGCCGACGAUUUGGAAGUUUCUUCCACUGAAUUAACCAUGAAUUUGAACAUGAAAUCAUUUGAAUUUGUUGUUCUGAUGAAGCUUGGAAAAUCUUUUAAUCGAACGUUCUUCAUUCCUGGUAACUCUAUUGGAGUAUCCAAGUAUCCAUUCGUUAUACAACUUGCAUCUGAUCAGUAGCAAAAACAAAACUAUUAUUAUGCCGAAUAUCAAAAGAACAUUAUGUAGGAAUACUCACCAACAAACCAACAUAGACAUAUGUACUUAAUAGAUAUACACACAUUAACUUAAAUACUUCAUAGAUAAAACUCCUUAGAGUUGGAAAGUAAGGGUUGUAAGGUAAAUCUCUAACCCAAAGUAAAGCAUAAGGUAAUAAGGAUGAUGUAUACUCCCUUCGUCCCAAAAAAAUAAAUCUUGUUUCUUUUUGUACGGUAUCCAACACGUCUCUUUGAAUUUUGACCAUCAAUAUCUUAGUUGCGCAUUAAUAAAAUUUUUAAAAGCUGAUAUUAUAAAACUAUACAUUGAGGCAAAUCUAACAAAAUCUUAUAUAAGUAUGAUUGUUUUUGUAUAUAUCAAUGAGAAUAUUUAGUCAAAUAUAUACACUAAUAAUUCUCAUAUGUAAUAUUAGAACGAAAAUAUCCAUUCGGUAAUGAAUUAUUGGUUCUAAGUCAUCUUUGGCUAUUCAUUAACAAUUCAACGUGCUUUUCUUGCUUAUUCGUGAUAUAGCCAGUGGCGGAUCUUGAAAGAUUUCGUUAUAAAAAAAAGACAUUUAUAAGUUGUACUGUCACAUAUUUCCCAUAUUUUAAACAUUACAACAGUAUAUAAUUGAAAAAGAUCUAGCACGUUAUCAUGAGAUAUUUCUAUCUUAAGUUAGCUAAACAGAGCCUCUCUAGAUCAAAUUUGUAUAAUAGACGUACUUUGUUAGAAGUAACGAGGAAAAACAUUAGGUGACUAUUCGAAGGAAUUUUACGAUUUAGACGUUAUAAUAGUGCACAAUCCAUGACGUUAUAAUGCGUGCGAUGACAUUUUGUGUACAUUGCACACAGAGGGGUAGAUGAGGGUGUGCAAGGAGCCAGGGCCGUCUCAAACUAUAUGGAGGCCCUGUGCUAUUUGUUCAAUUUAAGGCCCCAAAAAUUUAUUUUUUAAGUGACGUCUUUACUCAUUUUUUACUUUUACAAUUAGAUGAAAUAUGAAUAUCAAUUUUAGCUUACAAAAUCACAUUCAUUAAAUCAUUACAAAGUAAAAGCAACAUUUUACCCUCAAGAUUGAUUCAUCCUCAAUCACACAAAUUAUCAAUUAGGAAAAACAAAAUAGAUAAUACUUUUCAAGCUUUUAAUCCAUCACUUAAUCUAACAUUCUCCAUAAAAGCCUUGAGAAUUAAAGGAAAAAAAAAAUUAUCUAUAAUGCUGCAAGUUAAACUGAAUCUUAUUUGAUUGCACUUAUUGAAGAAUAAUUAUGAUUUUCAUUUCUUAUUAAUUAACAAAAUUCAAGAGUGAUAGUUGAAGAAUAUUGUUAGUUGUUCAUCAAGAGGAGUUUUGAGGAAUGGAUUCUUCCAUUGAUAGAAAGAGAGAAGGUGAAGGAUGAUUCUUGAAGAAAGGUGGGAGAGGAAACUUAAUGGAAAUGAAGGAAAGAAAAAUAGUUAAAAAUUAUAACAGAGAGAAGGAAAAGAGUUGAGAAGUGAAUUAAGCAUGAUUUUUGGGAUUUGAAAAUUUGCAAAUAUUGCUAUCA